CAGCUGGGUGAGGAGAGAGUUGGAGUUUGUUGGUUGUGCUGUGAGGAAGAAAGAGUGCUGCAAGGAGCUGGCCAUGAGAAAUCGCAGAGAAGGGACUGAACUUCAAGACACACAGAAAAUUCUUACAGCUUCCAGAAUCUACUGGAUCUCAGCAGAGUAUCCCAGCUGCUAGCCAUUUACAGAGGAGUGGUGUUUCUGCAGUUCAAUGCAGCAAUCAGGCAUCAAUUAUGGGUGCACCAUGAACUGCCUCUCUUGAGUAACUCUGUGAUUCAGAGAACGUUUGCUUCACAGCUAUGACUCCCACAGCUCCUGGAUGCUCAAAGCUGCAGGGUCCAAUGACACGUAGUACCUACUUGGCAUAACUGAGAAACAGGAUUUAUACUGGCAUACAAAAUCUGGACAGCUUUGGUGAAUAAGAUGUCCUGAUGCCUCUGAGGUUGGACCAGCAAUAAGUGAUUGACAGUGGCUCGGUGAAGACAUGGGAACUAUUCCAUGGAAGGAGUAGUCCAGCAUCUUGGCACACAUACAUUUACCUGGAGGAUAUUCCUAAUGGAUGGAGGAUUUUUUCCAGUCACUAUCAACAGUGCAAUUAAUUUAAAUUACAACAUACAAGUACAGCGAGACAGUAGCCUUGUACUUAUGUCCAAAGACAAAAAGACAAGAUGAUUCUAUGACACAGGAAAGUAAACUAGGACUAUCUUUUUUCCUGUCUUUGUUUAAAGGACCGAAGUGAAAAAAUCUCCCCCCUUUCUGUCCAAAGCCCCUUUUACCAUUUGCAUCACAUCUGAUAUUUCUUCAGGAAGAAAAGAGCAGUUUUAUUGAUAGGUAACCUACACCUAUCAUUUUUCUAGUGUGCUAGAGCUAGACAAUUUUUAUGUAUGUGCAUAUGUGUUUUAGAAGCAUGGUGCUAAGAACUUGAAACCCAUUUGUGUUUGUAACACAAAGACCCCUGAGCUGACAGUAUGAGAUUUGCUAUUGCUGGUGAAGCUCUGACAGCAGACCUUCAGAGACUUUGCCUUCCUCCCCAGCUGUGCCUGUGCAGCCUGAAGAGUUGCUCAUGCAGAGCUGGUGGUGAUGUACUUUUUCCUGGAGGGUGUCCUGCAGCCAUGGCCAUGCUGUGAAGGGGCACGCUGUCUGUCAGGCCUUGUUAGCUCAGAGCAAGCUGGUGUCUCUGACAGCUCAGUUUAUUUGGGUCUGUACAAAUUCUGUGUAGGACUCCUCUUAAUAUCUGCAACCAAAUCUCUGUGAACAUAAGUGACCUAGAUCUGAGUUGUGCCCUCACCUACUCCUGGCCAGCUGGUAAGAAGCAAAGGGAACAGUGUUGUCUCAUAAACCCUGAGUAGUCUCAAGAGAAGCCCUAGUGGCAGGUGCCCUGUGAAAACCUGUUGGUAUCUCCAGACUUGUGGAGAAAGCAGAGACCCCAUACUCCACCAAAAGACCGGCUCUUUCUUGUCAAGAGCUACUCAGCACUAAGGGAAGAAGAACAGGCUGGUCACUGUCUAAAACCAAGUGAAGGAGAGGGAAGGUACUUCCAAGCUGUGCUUCACCAAGUACUUUUAUUCGGGAUGUGUUUGUGAGGAGUGGCUCUUAGGGGCGCCUAAGUCAACCAGAAACUACAUAAAGAUUUGGUUCAAGGAAUGGGGAGAGAUUCAAACUGUUUGUGAUGGAAAACAAAUGCUAAGAUCAAUCUUUAAAGUAAAAUGAGUGGCAGAUUUUUGUAACGGCACUUUUCACAGCGACCAAGCAGAGAUGGUGUUGAUGGAAUCCACUCGGGGAAAGCAGUGAUAAAAACAAAGGAUUUAACUUCUUUAUUUUAUCCCUAUCUCUGCUGUGUUUUGAGUUCCCACUGCAGUCAAAAAUAGGCCCUUUUUCCCUGUACCAUGCUCUGAACAAUCUUGGUGUAAGGCUGCAAUUGCACAAUAACCUGUUGCAUGUCUUGUCUCAUUGCACAUCUCAUGAGAUGAUCUCAAGCAAAGAACUCAUUUCCUUGUGACUUCCAGUACAAUGUGGCAGAAAUGCUUGACUCAAGUACUAGCUGGUUGCAAGAUGGCUAAAAGGCAUGCAAACAUUUGCUGAGGGUUCAUGAUCUGGUUGUAUCACUUAAUUUGCUGAGACCUUUUCUGACACUGUGGAAGCAACAUUAAAGGCAGAAUGGGGCCCAUUGAAGCUGAGGACUGAGAGUAUCAAUACAAUUCUUCUCUACAAAGAAUUUUGUGAGCCAUGAGGAUGCAAGAAUAUUCCAGAGAGACUGAAAAGACGAAAAAUAAGAAAAGUCCAUGCAUUUUCCUCCUGUCCUCCUCUUUUACUUUCCUUUUUUUUUUAAUUUCUGCCUUUCUUUACUUUUGCUUAUUAUUAGCUAAGUAGUUUUGCUUUUCUCUAAAGGCCUGAGGGUUACCUUCUGCUUCAAUACAGUUGUUUUUUUCCCCCUUUCAAUAUCAGUUCAGCCUGUUUGCUGAUGCUGUAUUCUAAGUACAUUCUUCUCAGUCAU